rnacentral:rRNA from 1 species
UACAGAGGGGGCAAGCGUUGUUCGGAAUUACUGGGCGUAAAGGGCGCGUAGGCGGCCUGUUAAGUCGAACGUGAAAUCCCCGGGCUCAACCCGGGAACUGCGUCCGAUACUGGCAGGCUUGAAUCCGGGAGAGGGAUGCGGAAUUCCAGGUGUAGCGGUGAAAUGCGCAGAUAUCAGGAGGAACACCGGUGGCGAAGGCGGGUCUCUGGGCCGAUACUGACGCUGAGGAGCGAAAGCGUGGGGAGCAAACAGG